GAUGAACGCUGGCGGCGUGCUUAACACAUGCAAGUCGAGCGAGUGAGUUCUUCGGAACGAUCUAGCGGCGGACGGGUGAGUAACACGUGGGCAACCUGCCUCAUAGAGGGGAAUAGCCUCCCGAAAGGGAGAUUAAUACCGCAUAAAAUUAUCGAGUGGCAUCACAUGAUAAUCAAAGGAGUAAUCCGCUAUGAGAUGGGCCCGCGGCGCAUUAGCUAGUUGGGGAGGUAACGGCUCAGCAAGGCGACGAUGCGUAGGCGACCUGAGAGGGUGAUCGGCCACAUUGGGACUGAGACACGGCACAGACUCCUACGGGAGGCAGCAGUGGGGAAUAUUGCACAAUGGGGGAAACCCUGAUGCAGCAACGCCGCGUGAGUGAUGAAGGUCUUCGGAUUGUAAAGCUCUGUCUUUGGGGACGAUAAUGACGGUACCCAAGGAGGAAGCCGCGGCUAACUACGUGCCAGCCGCCGCCGUAA
rnacentral:rRNA from 1 species